UACGUAGGGUGCAAGCGUUGUCCGGAAUUAUUGGGCGUAAAGAGCUCGUAGGCGGUUUGUCGCGUCGAAUGUGAAACCCGGGGCUCAACCCCGGGCCUGCAUUCGAUACGGGCAGACUAGAGUUCGGUAGGGGAGUCUGGAAUUCCUGGUGUAGCGGUGAAAUGCGCAGAUAUCAGGAGGAACACCGGUGGCGAAGGCGGGACUCUGGGCCGAUACUGACGCUGAGGAGCGAAAGCGUGGGGAACAAACAGG
rnacentral:rRNA from 1 species